rnacentral:rRNA from 1 species
GUGCCAGCCGCCGCGGUAAUACGGAGGGUGCAAGCGUUGUUCGGAAUUAUUGGGCGUAAAGCGCGUGUAGGCGGUUGUUUAAGUCUGAUGUGAAAGCCCCGGGCUCAACCCGGGAAGUGCAUUGGAAACUGGGCAACUUGAGUACGGGAGAGGGAAGUGGAAUUUCGAGUGUAGGGGUGAAAUCCGUAGAUAUUCGAAGGAACACCGGUGGCGAAGGCGGCUUCCUGGACCGAUACUGACGCUGAGACGCGAAAGCGUGGGGAGCAAACAGGAUUAGAUACCCUGGUAGUCCACGCCGUAAACGAUGGGCACUAGGUGUUGCGGGUAUUGACCCCUGCAGUGCCGAAGCUAACGCAUUAAGUGCCCCGCCUGGGGGGUACGGCCGCAAGGCUAAAACUCAAAUGAAUUGACGG